rnacentral:rRNA from 1 species
UGGGGAAUCUUGCACAAUGGGCGAAAGCCUGAUGCAGCAACGCCGCGUGCGGGAAGAAGGCCCUCGGGUUGUAAACCGCUUUCAGAAGGAACGAAACUGACGGUACUUUCAGAAGAAGGUGCGGCCAACUACGUGCCAGCAGCCGCGGUGACACGUAGGCACCAAGCGUUGUCCGGAUUUAUUGGGCGUAAAGAGCUCGUAGGCGGUUCAGUAAGUCGGGUGUGAAAACUUUGGGCUUAACCCAAAGCGUGCAUCCGAUACUGCUGUGACUUGAGUACGGUAGGGGAGCGGGGAAUUCCUAGUGUAGCGGUGAAAUGCGCAGAUAUUAGGAGGAACACCGGUGGCGAAGGCGCCGCCCUGGGCCGAAACUGACGCUGAGGAGCGAAAGCAUGGGUAGCAAACAGGAUUAGAUACCCAAGUAGUCCCUGAGCGGGACUGGCAAGGC